rnacentral:tRNA from 1 species
GCCUCCAUAGCUCAGUGGAUAGAGCACUUCCCUCCUAAGGAAGGGGUCGCAGGUUCGAUUCCUGCUGGGGGCGCCA